CAUGCAAGUCGAACGGCAGCGCGGGAGCAAUCCUGGCGGCGAGUGGCGAACGGGUGAGUAAUACAUCGGAACGUGCCCAAUCGUGGGGGAUAACGCAGCGAAAGCUGUGCUAAUACCGCAUACGAUCUACGGAUGAAAGCAGGGGAUCGCAAGACCUUGCGCGAAUGGAGCGGCCGAUGGCAGAUUAGGUAGUUGGUGAGGUAAAGGCUCACCAAGCCUUCGAUCUGUAGCUGGUCUGAGAGGACGACCAGCCACACUGGGACUGAGACACGGCCCAGACUCCUACGGGAGGCAGCAGUGGGGAAUUUUGGACAAUGGGCGAAAGCCUGAUCCAGCCAUGCCGCGUGCAGGAUGAAGGCCUUCGGGUUGUAAACUGCUUUUGUACGGAACGAAACGGCCUUUUCUAAUAAAGAGGGCUAAUGACGGUACCGUAAGAAUAAGCACCGGCUAACUACGUGCCAGCAGCCGCGGUAAUACGUAGGGUGCAAGCGUUAAUCGGAAUUACUGGGCGUAAAGCGUGCGCAGGCGGUAAUGUAAGACAGUUGUGAAAUCCCCGGGCUCAACCUGGGAACUGCAUCUGUGACUGCAUUGCUGGAGUACGGUAGAGGGGGAUGGAAUUCCGCGUGUAGCAGUGAAAUGCGUAGAUAUGCGGAGGAACACCGAUGGCGAAGGCAAUCCCCUGGACCUGUACUGACGCUCA
rnacentral:rRNA from 1 species